rnacentral:rRNA from 1 species
UACGGAGGGUGCGAGCGUUGUCCGGAAUCAUUGGGCGUAAAGGGCGCGUAGGUGGCCCGGUCAGUUCGUGGUGAAAGCGCGGGGCUCAACCCUGCGUCGGCCAUGAAUACUGCCGCGGCUGGAGCACUGUAGAGGCAGGCGGAAUUCCGGGUGUAGCGGUGAAAUGCGCAGAUAUCAGGAGGAACACCGGUGGCGAAGGCGGGACUCUGGGCCGAUACUGACGCUGAGGAGCGAAAGCGUGGGGAGCAAACAGG